rnacentral:misc_RNA from 2 species
AAGGGUGAGGGAGGCGAGCCUCCCUCCUGCGUACUCUCUGUUAAUAUGCUGGCGUAGCGAUGAUUAACAGGAUCAGCAGCAUGAUGACGUAUCUCAUCAUCGUCCCUUUCCUUUUUAGAGCCCCUGCCUCGGUAGGGGCUUUCC